rnacentral:rRNA from 1 species
CGCCAGACUCCUACGGGAGGCAGCAGUGAGGAAUAUUGGUCAAUGGACGCAAGUCUGAACCAGCCAUGCCGCGUGCAGGAAGACGGCUCUAUGAGUUGUAAACUGCUUUUGUACGAGGGUAAACGCAGAUACGUGUAUCUGCUUGAAAGUAUCGUACGAAUAAGGAUCGGCUAACUCCGUGCCAGCAGCCGCGGUAAUACGGAGGAUCCAAGCGUUAUCCGGAUUUAUUGGGUUUAAAGGGUGCGUAGGCGGUUUAGUAAGUCAGCGGUGAAAUUUUGGUGCUCAACACCAAACGUGCCGUUGAUACUGCUGAGCUAGAGAGUAGGUGCGGUAGGCGGAAUGUAUGGUGUAGCGGUGAAAUGCUUAGAGAUCAUACAGAACACCGAUUGCGAAGGCAGCUUACCAAACUAUAUCUGACGUUGAGGCACGAAAGCGUGGGGAGCAAACAGGAUUAGAUACCCGGGUA